rnacentral:rRNA from 1 species
UUGGAGGGCAAGUCUGGUGCCAGCAGCCGCGGUAAUUCCAGCUCCAAUAGCGUAUAUUAAAGUUGUUGCAGUUAAAAAGCUCGUAGUUGAAUUUCGGGAUCAAUACGUCGGUCGUGCUUUUUUGGUACGCACUGGCGUCAUUGGUUUCUCCUUUCUGACGAACCAUGAUGUCAUUAAUUUGGUGUUAUGGGGAGUUAGGACUGUUACUUUGAAAAAAUUAGAGUGUUUAAAGCAGGCAUUAGCUUGAAUACAUUAGCAUGGAAUAAUGAAAUAGGACGUUCGAUCCUAUUCUGUUGGUUUCUAGGAUCAACGUAAUGAUUAAUAGGGAUAGUUGGGGGCAUUAGUAUUCAAUUGUCAGAGGUGAAAUUCUUGGAUUUAUUGAAGACUAACUACUGCGAAAGCAUUUGCCAAGGAUGUUUUCAUUAAUCAAGAACGAAAGUUAGGGGAUCGAAGACGAUCAGAUACCGUCGUAGUCUUAACCAUAAACUAUGCCGACUAGGGAUCGGAUGAUGUUAAUUUUUUAAUGACUCAUUCGGCGCCUUACGGGAAAC